GACGAACGCUGGCGGCGUGCUUAACACAUGCAAGUCGAACGGAGAAUUUAUUUCGGUAAAUUCUUAGUGGCGAACGGGUGAGUAACGCGUGGGCAACCUGCCCUUCAGAUGGGGACAACAUCCCGAAAGGGGUGCUAAUACCGAAUACGAUCACGCUGCCGCAUGGCGGUGUGAUGAAAGAUGGCCUCUAUUUAUAAGCUAUCGCUGAAGGAUGGGCCUGCGUCUGAUUAGCUAGUUGGUGGGGUAACGGCCUACCAAGGCGAUGAUCAGUAACCGGUCUGAGAGGAUGAACGGCCACAUUGGGACUGAGACACGGCCCAAACUCCGACGGGAGGCAGCAGUGGGGAAUAUUCCGCAAUGGACGAAAGUCUGACGGAGCAACGCCGCGUGAGUGAUGAAGGUUUUCGGACUGUAAAACUCUGUUGUUUAGGACGAAAGUGCCUGUUGCAAAUAGUUGCAGGUAUUGACGGUACUGAGCGAGGAAGCCACGGCUAACUACGUGCCAGCAGCCGCGGUAA
rnacentral:rRNA from 1 species